UACAGAGGUCUCAAGCGUUGUUCGGAUUCAUUGGGCGUAAAGGGUGCGUAGGCGGCGCGGUAAGUCGGGUGUGAAAUUCCUGGGCUCAACCUGGGGGCUGCGUUUGAUACGUGCGGGCUUGAGUUCGGAAGAGGGUCGUGGAAUUCCCAGUGUAGAGGUGAAAUUCGUAGAUAUUGGGAAGAACACCGGUGGCGAAGGCGGCGACCUGGUCCGAUACUGACGCUGAGGCGCGAAAGCGUGGGGAGCAAACAGG
rnacentral:rRNA from 1 species